AAACAAAUUUUCAAGAUUUGAAGGAAGAGAAUCAUAUUCUCUACUUUCUAGGGAACUAAUUCUCAAAAUCUUUAUUUAAUUUUCAAUAAAAUCAUCACAAUCAAAGCUACUAAGUAAUAGAAAACCUAGGCUUUUUUAUAGAGUUUUUGCAACCUUAAUCACAUUAUGUUUUAGAAACCUUAAUUCAAUUCUAAUUGGAGAGCCUAAACAAACUUAAACUAGUAAAAUAAUAACUAAAUUCCUAAAAUAAAACUCUUAAACUUCCUAAUUCACAGUGACUAUAAUUCAUAAACUUCCAACACUACAUCAGAAUAUUUAAUGGUUUCGGU
rnacentral:misc_RNA from 1 species